rnacentral:ncRNA from 1 species
CAAAAUCUGUUUGUAUACAUUGGGGGAUCGUGAAGAUUUUAUCAGUGAGGAUUUGCUCUCGGAAGGGCAGCGAUGAAUAUUAAACUGUCGGACAUAGUACGAUAAGGUUGUAUGUCUAAAGGGAAACAGCCCAGAACAAGAGUUAAAGGUUCCAAAAUUAUUGUUAAGUGAAAUUAAGGUAGUUUUUUUCAAAUACAACCAGGAAAUAGGCUUAGAAGCGGCCAUUUUUUAAAGAUCUCGUAACAGAGCACUGGUUUAUUAUAAAAGUUAAACGCACCGAAAAUAUAACGGAUCUAAAACAGUAUACCGAAACCUUGUACAUAAUUAAAACUAAGAUAAUGAGUUA